UAGCAAUAAUAAUAGUUAACCGUUAUUGAAACAAGCUCAUUUUACAUGUAGUAAGGGUUGACCUCUGCAGAGUUGUAUUGCAGGUUCCAGCUGUCCUUCCCCUGAAGAUAGUCCCAGUCUUGAUGGGAGGUGAAGAUGACUCCAACUUACCCAGUACAGUGGUCUGGUGGUCUGGUGUCCUCUGUGUCUUUGUAGUGUGGAGCCAGGUGGCUGUACAGAGAAGAGGCCAGAGCAGCAGGGAGAGGUGUGUGUGUCCAGUGGAUUGCUGCCAGGGUGUGGGCUCAUUUGGCAUGUUCCGCAUGACUCAUGACCUUGUUACGACAUCCGCAGACCUGCCUGUCUGCAGCAGAUUGAUUCGGCAUGUUCCGUGUGACUUGCGACCUUGCCUGAAGUGGAGUGGAUUCAUAAGCUGCUUUAAAGAACAACUGAGCCCUUGAUUUCGCAGAAUGGCCUUACCACAGAUAGCACUAGCUACUACUCUAACAUGAGCAUACCUACUUCUGUGGAACUGUAAUAAAUAAAAACAAGUCUUCCAUGAGUACCAGGAGCUACUUUUUUGCAUAUAAUUUAUCAAGAUGCAAUCAUAGUUUUUAUAUCUCUGGUGUUGGUAGGGCAGCAC
rnacentral:lncRNA from 1 species